UUUAAGUUGGCGUACAGACAUAUCUGUACAUACCAGACUGUUGAUGGUGAACAUUCUCACAAAACCAGUGACUCAAGCCUUCUAACAAGAUGUCAGGUUUGGUGAGGUUCUUAUUUCUUGGAAUAAAUAUGCUGGAGAGCAAAAAGGCCUUGCAGAAAUGAGCUUCCACAUCUCUCAGAGACACCUUAGCCUUACAGUUUCCACAGUGGUCUCUUCAGUUCUUGGGUGAUUUAGGAGUAGAAAUGUAUUAUGAAGCCACAUAUACCGUUACUAGAUGUAUUCUUGUGAACUACAUGGUAG
rnacentral:lncRNA from 1 species